rnacentral:rRNA from 1 species
CACCUUUUGACAUGCCUGGACAUCACGGGAGACCGUGCUUUCCCUUCGGGGACUGGGACACAGGUGCUGCAUGGCUGUCGUCAGCUCGUGUCGUGAGAUGUUGGGUUAAGUCCCGCAACGAGCGCAACCCUCGCUGUUAGUUGCCAUCAUUCAGUUGGGAACUCUAACAGGACUGCCGGUGCUAAGCCGGAGGAAGGUGGGGAUGACGUCAAGUCCUCAUGGCCCUUACAGGGUGGGCUACACACGUGCUACAAUGGCGACUACAGAGGGUAAAUCCCUAAAAGUCGUCUCAGUUCGGAUUGUCCUCUGCAACUCGAGGGCAUGAAGUUGGAAUCGCUAGUAAUCGCGGAUCAGCAUGCCGCGGUGAAUACGUUCCC